CUCCUGCACAUCCAGUCCCACCUUCUUAGAGGACAAACGCAGAGGUCAACGCCAUUAACUAGAGCACGUGACCCAGGGGAACAGGAACAGCUCAGGCACGAGUGCUCCAGGCAGAGAAACAUCUAAGGAUCUAUCACCACAAACUAAUCACCCUACGGAGUCAACAUUCCAGCACCUGGAAGCAGAGCCAUGGAUCCUCUGAUUCAUGCGCUCAACUGUGUCUUCCUCUCUGGCUGCUGGAAAGAGCAGACACACAUUUAAUCUCGUCUGUAUCAGGUGUAAGGUCCUCACAGGCUGCAUCUUGGAUGCUGGCUUCACUCCUGGAUCAUGUUUGUUUGUUUGUUUGUUUUUUUAAUCAUCACUAUUGUUGCUCCUGGGACAUUAUUAUUAUUUUUUCCCUCUCAUAUCCAGUUUUGUUUUAAUCUAACCUAGUGUUUACUUUUACAAACUGCAUUUUUUUUUUUUUAAUGGAAAGGAGUUGGGAGGAGAGGCCAGGAAGUAUCGGAGUCUGACUCCUGAUGGGGCUGCCGACAGGAAAGGUCACGG
ensembl:lncRNA